rnacentral:tRNA from 11 species
GUUAGGACUGAAACUGGUCAGUCUCUAAUUGGCAUAUGUGCAUACUUUGCGUAUUGCCUCGAUAUAGCUUUAAUUCACAAGCAAGUGGCUAUCAGGACU